GACGAACGCUGGCGGCGUGCUUAACACAUGCAAGUCGAACGGUAAGGCCCUUCCGGGUACACGAGUGGCGAACGGGUGAGUAACACGUGGGUGAUCUGCCCUGCACUUCUGGAUAAGCCUGGGAAACUGGGUCUAAUACCGGAUAGGACCACUGCCGGCAUGGGCUGUGGUGGAAAGCUUUUCUGGUGUGGGAUGGGCCCGCGGCCUAUCAGCUUGUUGGUGGGAUGAUGGCCUACCAAGGCGACGACGGGUAGCCGGCCUGUGAGGGUGACCGGCCACACUGGGACUGAGAUACGGCCCAGACUCCUACGGGAGGCAGCAGUGGGGAAUAUUGCACAAUGGGCGCAAGCCUGAUGCAGCGACGCCGCGUGAGGGAUGACGGCCUUCGGGUUGUAAACCUCUUUCAGCACCGACGAAGCGCAAGUGACGGUAGGUGCAGAAGAAGGACCGGCCAACUACGUGCCAGCCGCCGCGGUAA
rnacentral:rRNA from 1 species